UUUUGGGAAAUUUCAGGUGUAUCAGCACCAAAAACCUUUUGCUAGAGGAGAAACCCUAGAAAUCAGUUUUUGGAGAGCUAGGGUGACAGGGAUCACUUUCUGGUGAGGAAAGGAGCUAAUCUCUUUUAGGUCCUAGCUGUAGUUCCUGCUUCAAUUUGACUGGGUUUUGAAGAUUUUUGGAAUAAUUUUGGGAAACUGGAUAGCAUUUUGAUGUUCUCUCCCUUGGUUGAAUUUUUUUAUAAUAAGAAAAUACUGUGGCUCAG
rnacentral:lncRNA from 1 species